CUGGCGGCGUGCCUAACACAUGCAAGUCAACUUUGACUGAAGGAGCAAUCUGACAGUAGAGUUGGCGCAAGGGUGCGUAACGCGUAAGUAACUUGCCCCAAGGUAAGGAUAACGUCGAGAAAUCGGCGCUAAUACCUCAUAAUGCAGCGGAUCCGCAUGGAUAUGUUGUUAAAGGUUUACCGCCUUGGGAUAGGCUUGCGUCUGAUUAGUUAGUUGGUGUGGUAACGGCACACCAAGGCUACGAUCAGUAACUGGUCUGAGAGGAUGAUCAGUCACACUGGAACUGAGACACGGUCCAGACUCCUACGGGAGGCAGCAGUGAGGAAUAUUGGGCAAUGCUCGAAAGAGUGACCCAGCAACGCCGCGUGGAGGAUGAAGGUAUUCUAUAUCGUAAACUCCUGUGAGAGCAGACGAAAGACAGAUUAUUAAUCUGGAUGACUGUAUGCUCAGAGGAAGCCCCGGCUAACUACGUG
rnacentral:rRNA from 1 species